rfam:Butyrivibrio sp. CAG:318 genomic scaffold, scf75
UAUCAGCUGCGUAACUGACGGAUACGUGGGAUUACCCACAGGGAGCGCAGUCUUAGUAAGCCGACCGUCUGGGCAGCCGUU